UGUUACUUUCUCUGUCCACCAGCUCUUCAGACAGUCUUUACAGAAGCUGUGGCUACAUGACAGGAUGACCGGAUCUUUAAAGAUGUCGUGGCAGACAGGACAGCAGAGAUCUUCCUCUAAUCUGGAAGCCAUUUUGUCUGUGAGUGCAGCUGAAAGCACAGCAGGCAGCUCCAACAGGAAACCAGUCAGUCACUCCCUGUUCUCUGAAAGUUACUUUCACUUUGAGUCUUCUUGAAGAUGAAUCUUAUUGUCUGUCUCUGUCUGUGUGAAGCAGAAGAACAACCUUGGUUUCCUGGAGUAUUUGUUGGAGUAUUUGGAAUUUGCACUUGAAUUCUUGGGAGUUCCAAGUCCGGCAGAGUCAGCUAAUGGGACCGCUGUAGCAGAUUGAUUGGAGGGACGUAGCACACAUUCAGCGGUAUUGGCCGCAACAAGUCCCUGCCUGGCUACCAAGUUUUUACAGGAAACAUGUAAAUAUGAGGAAGCAAACAGCACUGUGCUUCCUGUUUCAUGGUAACUUUAAGGCUAGGCUAGUAGUGGUGAUGGUUAGAUUAGCGGGUUAGUUUAUGUCUCCAGAAAAUGAAUGCAAGUCUAUGUCCCCAAAAGUGACAUAAGUAAAAGUGUGUGGGUGUGGGUGUGUACUGAGCCUUGCUGUCAGCAGCCCUCAUUAUUCUGUCGGCACGCCUUGUACGGUAACUCGGGCUGUAUGUGUGGGUGUGUGUGUGCUGUCCUGGCCUCCUGCCAAGCAUAAGGCGCCACUUUAUGAGUAUGAUGAUCUCACCUCGACCCACCUCCAAAACACUGUGUGUAUUCAGCAGUGUGUGUUUGUUUAUGUGUAAAAGAUGAAUGUGUGGUUCAGCAUGUUUUAUAAAGAGCAGUUGUGUAAAAGAGAGAGAGUGAACAGUUGGUCUGCAUGUUGUUUAUUGAACAGCUGCAGAAACAGUCAGCAGGAUGCUGACUAACUGCUGAGCCAACAAGAAGUAACAUGUAAAUCAGACAGAUUUUAAUUUGUCCUUCUGAGUCCUGUUGAUUCAGGAAAAGAAAGACUAACAGGGUUUCACCACAGUUUGGAGAUUUUAGUUGUUUUAAAUUUUACUUAUUAAACUUAAUGUUCAAACUCAGAGAAAUCAUCAUUUCAUUCAGGUGACGGGUUAAAUAGCUGAUACAAAUGGACUUUUCAUCCAGUCUGCAGCCACAUGUUUACCAUCUGCUGCUUCACCACCUCAUCACACUUCCUCUUCUGUUAUUGUUUUGAUGGGAGAGACCCCUGGUGGCAGAAAUACUGAAAAUACAGACAUUUAGAGAGCGAGUAGAAAGGUUUUAUUAUCAGAAUUAUUCACAACUUGUUAAUCACAUCCAGAGAAUAAAUAUUAAUAUUAAAGUAAAAUAAAGACAUCAUAUGAUCAUUGAAUCAAACUGUACAGAGAAACACUGCUGUUGUUCCUCAUUAGAAACAUUGAUGAGCAGGUUGAUGUUGAGGACACUGCUCAUGUUCAGGUGAUAAUUAACAAUAUUUUCCUCAAAUGUCUUUUUGCCGCUAAAACUCAUCAGUUUUUAGUUUUGUUCUUGUAGAAAAUCUGAAUACUGGUAACCCUUUAGCACAAAACUGCUUAAAUAUUAAGAUUUACUGAAGAGUGAAAUACAUAAAUAUCAUCAGCCUUUCAAAGAUCAGUCGAGUAAAGGUUGUCAAAGAUCAACAACCACGGCUGCAGUUCAUCUAACGUCCACCAGAGGAUACUCCAAGAAGUGAAUGGCAGAUGAUUUCACCUCUGAUAUUGAGAAUUACUGAACAUGAGAAGUAAUUCUCAGCACUCAGUCACCCAAACGUCCACGUUGAAUCAACUCUCUGUGAGCCAGACACUUUGCUCUCCUCCUUCUGCAGAGUCUCAGUCCACAGAUUGUAGCUUCGUCCAAUAAAUAUGUGAACAGACUAGAAAGGCUCUGACACAUCUGUCUGGACAAACAGAUGUCAGACUGAAAGAGGGACGUCGGUCGCGCUCAAAGAUACAGACUUGGGAUUCUUAUUGUGAGUUCUCUUUGGAAAUGAAUGAGGGUAUCAUACAAUAUUACCGCCGGCAUUCAGCACUCAUUUGUCAGGAUCUCUGCGUCAUUCUUCAUUCUGUUGUUGCUGUGCACCUGUCUGUCUGUCUCUCUCUCUGUCUGUCUGUCUGUCUGUCUGUCUGUCUCUCUCUCUCUCUCUCUCUCUCUCUCUCUCUCACCCCAACUGGUCGAGACAGACGACCACCCACCUAGAGCCGAAGCGUCUGUCCGAGGUUUCUGCCUCUUAAAGGGAAGUUUUUCCUUGCUGCUGUCGCCAAGGUCUUGCUCAUGGUGGUACUGUUGGGUCUCUGUAAAUAAUGUUAUAAGGAGUUCGGUCUAGACCUGCUCUAUUUAAAAAGUGUCCUGAGAUAACUUCUGUUAUGAAUUGGAGCUAUACAAAUAAAAUUGAAUUGAAUUGAA